AUAUCAACUUGACUUGAGUUCGAGUCAGAAUUGAGAUUUCCAUUUGCGUCAGCAGAUGAAUCUUGAAUUGUAUAAGAAUUCAGGUUUCGGUGUGACCGCAUAUGCUGAACAUUGUGGGAUACGAAACUGUAGAAAGCUUUUCUACGGAUCGAAUUUCAUCAUCACAAUGAGUUCAGUAUGAAAGGUGUGACCGAAGCAAUUUAAACUGAGUACUUCAACAAAUUUUACUUGAAAUAUUUAUAUUUCAAU
rnacentral:misc_RNA from 1 species